rnacentral:tRNA from 1 species
GGUUUCGUAGCUCAGUUGGUUAUAACAUUGGUCUUAUGAGCUGAAGGUCGCAGGUUCAAGCCUCGCCGCGACCA